rnacentral:sRNA from 1 species
GCCGGGCGUGGUGGCGGGCGCCUGUAGUCCCAGCUACUCGGAGGCUGAGGCGGGAGAAUGGCGUGAACCCGGGAGGUGGAGCUUGCAGUGAGCCGAGAUCCGGCCACUGCACUCCAGCCUGGGCGACAGAGCGAGACUCCGUCUCAA